rnacentral:rRNA from 1 species
AGCGAACGCUGGCGGCAGGCCUAACACAUGCAAGUCGAACGGACCCUUCGGGGUUAGUGGCGGACGGGUGAGUAACACGUGGGAACCUGCCUUUAGGUUCGGAAUAGCCCCUGGAAACGGGUGGUAAUGCCGAAUGUGCCCUUCGAGGGAAAGAUUUAUCGCCUUUAGAGCGGCCCGCGUCUGAUUAGCUAGUUGGUGAGGUAAUGGCUCACCAAGGCGACGAUCAGUAGCUGGUCUGAGAGGAUGACCAGCCACAUUGGGACUGAGACACGGCCCAAACUCCUACGGGAGGCAGCAGUGGGGAAUCUUGCGCAAUGGGCGAAAGCCUGACGCAGCCACGCCGCGUGGAUGAUGAAGGUCUUAGGAUUGUAAAAUCCUUUCACCGGUGAAGAUAAUGACUGUAGCCGGAGAAGAAGCCCCGGCUAACUUCGUGCCAGCCGCCGCGGUAA